GAUGAACGCUGGCGGCGUGCCUAAUACAUGCAAGUCGAGCGAACAGAUGAGGAGCUUGCUCCUCUGACGUUAGCGGCGGACGGGUGAGUAACACGUGGAUAACCUACCUAUAAGACUGGGAUAACUUCGGGAAACCGGAGCUAAUACCGGAUAAUAUAUUGAACCGCAUGGUUCAAUAGUGAAAGACGGUUUUGCUGUCACUUAUAGAUGGAUCCGCGCCGCAUUAGCUAGUUGGUAAGGUAACGGCUUACCAAGGCAACGAUGCGUAGCCGACCUGAGAGGGUGAUCGGCCACACUGGAACCGAGACACGGUCCAGACUCCUACGGGAGGCAGCAGUAGGGAAUCUUCCGCAAAGGGCGAAAGCCUGACGGAGCAACGCCGCGUGAGUGAUGAAGGUCUUCGGAUCGUAAAACUCUGUUAUUAGGGAAGAACAAAUGUGUAAGUAACUAUGCACGUCUUGACGGUACCUAAUCAGAAAGCCACGGCUAACUACGUG
rnacentral:rRNA from 1 species